UCCUGAGAUGAAAAUGCUACAUAGGAAGUGCCGUCUGAUGCGAUAACUGACGAUGGUUAAAAGCUACACUGUUCUGAGG